rnacentral:misc_RNA from 1 species
GAUGAAGAACGUAGCGAAAUGCGAUACGUAAUGUGAAUUGCAGAAUUCAGUGAAUCAUCGAAUCUUUGAACGCAUAUUGCGCUCUCUGGUAUUCCGGAGAGCAUGCUUGUUUGAGUAUCAGUAAACACUUCAACUUCCAUAUCUUUUUUGAAAUGGGAGUUGGACUUGAGUGAUCCCAACGCUUUUCCUCACCGAAAAGUGGCGGGUUACUUGAAAUGCAGGUGCAGCUGGACUUUUCUCUGAGCUAUAAGCAUAUCUAUUUAGUCUGCCUAAAAAACAGAUUAUUACCUUUGCUGCAGCUAACAUAAAGGAGAUUAGUUCUUGUGCUGACUGAUGCAGGAUUCACAAAGACGGCUUCGGCCGACUUUGUAAACUCGAUCUCAAAUCAAGUAAGACUACCCGCUGAACUUAAGCAUAUCAAUAAGCGGAGGA